rnacentral:rRNA from 1 species
UACAGAGGUCUCAAGCGUUGUUCGGAUUCAUUGGGCGUAAAGGGUGCGUAGGUGGUGAUGCAAGUCUGGUGUGAAAUCUCGGAGCUCAACUCCGAAAUUGCACCGGAUACUGCGUGACUCGAGGACUGUAGAGGAGAUCGGAAUUCACGGUGUGGCAGUGAAAUGCGUAGAUAUCGGAAGGAACACCAGUGGCGAAAGCGGCUUCCUGGUCCAGCACCGACGUUCAGGCACGAAAGCGUGGGGAGCAAACAGG